GCUGGAUCAACUGCCUCAGCCCCCGACGUCGUCUCCUCCCUCCGACUCUGAAUGUGCGGGAAGAUAUUUAUCAUCAGGAUCUUCCAAGUAUGUGUGAAAGCCACC
rnacentral:lncRNA from 1 species